AAACCAGAUGAUGAAUUUGGAUUGAAAUUUCUCACGACGGUCGUCUGAGACACCUAGAAGUGUCAGUAUUGAUGUUAAAGUUCCAAUAUUACUGAUGGAU